rnacentral:rRNA from 1 species
UACGUAGGGGGCAAGCGUUGUCCGGAUUUAUUGGGCGUAAAGAGCGUGUAGGCGGUUAGGUAGGUCCGUUGUGAAAACUCGAGGCUCAACCUCGAGACGCCGAUGGAAACCCCCUAACUAGAGUCCGGAAGAGGAGAGUGGAAUUCCUGGUGUAGCGGUGAAAUGCGUAGAUAUCAGAAAGAACACCAGUGGCGAAGGCGGUCAACUGGUCCGGUACAGACACUAAAGCACGAAAGCAUGGGGAGCAAACAGG